CGCUCUCUUCUUUCCUCGCCGCCAGCCUCCACCUCUCCCAUCGGCGCCCAGCAGAUCGACCCCCUCUGUGUUCCCUCUCCCUGGCCACCGUGCCCCGUGCACACCCCCAUGCCUCUGUUCACCUCGGCUGCUCUAGAUGUUGGCACGUAUGUCUGCGGCGUCAGUGGAUCUAGCUAUUGCGUCGUGCUCGCUCCUCAUGUUCGACGCGGGAGGUGGUGGCAUCAGAUCUUUCCCUACCUCGCCUGUCGCUACUCACGGCCGGUGGCGCGCUUCAUGGUCAGGAAUCCCCUAUCCUCGCCCCUUCGCCCACAUGACACAGGUCAUCCUCCCCGCCUCCGCCAUGAUGGCCACCAACAGCGCCGCACCCGUCGCCACGUCGAAGAGGGGCGCCUUCACCAUCUUCCUCUCAGGUGGAUUAUCCAUCUAGGACCUCAGGAAGUCGGGGUAGCCGCCAUACCUGGAGACAGCGGACUGGAGCAAGUUGAAGACGAUCUGGGUUGGCGAGAUGGUCGUCCCCAAGGACCAUGCGGAUAGUAAUUCCAAGCUCGACCCUAUAUGGGUUACACUCGAAGGGCAUUUAGAAGACAUAAUUUGUGGCUUGAAGUGAUGGGCGGUUGUCGACAAGUAAGAUUAUACCAUUGCUUGGAUUUCGUAUUUAGCUGAGCAUGUUAACUUUGGAUACAUUUGGAGCUAUAUUUGAGUGUGUAUCCAUGCCUUGAGAGAUUUGGUGAGUAUGAAAGCAUAUGGAUUCUAUCCUGUCAUGAAUUUCUAUAUUAUCUUGUGCAAACUGGCUACACAAGAUCAUAGUUAAACUCAUGCUAUUUAUUUUCAGUAUCA